UGAAGCUAAGCGAAAACUUAUUGCCGCAAGUGCUUUGGGGGAACGGAUGUUGCAUGAGAUCGAAGCUGACCCGUCAAGACCUGUCAAACGGGUUUAUAAUGCUGUUCUGCAACAGGCAAGCGACAUAAACCCUGAUGAGGAGCCGGCAUUUGGCAGCUUGAGGUCUAAACUGACACGGAAAAGGGCAUCUCUCAACCCCCCCAUUUCUGCAACAAUUGAGGAGGUUGAAAUACCAGAAGAAUGGAAGAGGACAUGGAAUGACCGUAAUUUUUUGAGCCAUCAGGACAAUGAUUAGGAGAUAUUACUAUUUGCCACCGACUCGAACUUGCGCAAAUUGCAGCAAUCUCGUGACAUCUACAUCGAUGGCACUUUUAAGACGUGUCCCGCACCAUACAAACAGUUUGUCACUGUACAUGGUAUGUACAAUGGGAGAGUGCUACCUUUUGCGUUUGCAUUAAUGGAAGGCCGAACUGUUGGUGAUUACCGCCAGAUAUUACAGCAUUUGAAGGAGGAAGUCCGUCGGUUGACUGGCCAUUGCUUUAGGCCAAGGAAGGUCAUCACUGACUUUGAAGUGGCCUUCAUCACCGCCGUGGAAACAGAAUUGCCACGUAGCAAUACAUGUGGCUGUUAUUUCCACUUCUGUCAAAGUGCGAUCAUGGCGGAUGAUUCAGCAGCUUGGGCUGGUUGGACCCUACAGACGACAAUACCGCGUGCGGAAGUUGCUCCGCAAAUUUAUGGCAAUAGGGUAUUUGCCACUGGCCCUUGUGCGGAACAAUUUCCGUUUACUGUUAGAUAGAAAUUCUACCCAGCGCAUCAUUAACCGCUAUCCUGCUGUUCAGGAUUUUAUUCAGUAUCUCCAGAGGAACUAUCUGGAUGGACAGUUUCCGGCUCAGUUGUGGAAUGUUUUCGACAGGGAUAGUGACACGCGCACAAAUAAUCACGUCAAAGGUUUCCACCACAGAUGGAACAAUAGUUUGAGCCGACACCACCCUUCCAUGCGGGUUUUCUUGAGAAAGUUCAAGGAUGAACAGAGGCUUGUCGAGGUCUCCGCUGCAGCCGCCAGGAGAGGGGAAGCUCCUCCACGCAGGCGAAGAAAAUGGCGUGAUCUCGAACACCGCAUCCGGAGGCUGAAGCAUGAGUACAACACUGGAGCCAGGACAUUGAGCAGUAUUGGAACGCCAUUGUUUAUGUCAUAAAAACAUACAUAUAAGUUAUCUCUGGAAGUUUGGUUCCAUGUUGACAGUGGAGAUCUACCAUAGGGUCUAUACCAAAAUUAUUACCACUUGAACGGUUGGCUGGGUUGAUGCGUAGGCCAAUGGCCACUGACAGUGGGUGUAUGGCAAGUUUUUGCCCAAGAAACAACCUAUUAUUGUCUUUGUUUUCUUGAAAUACUAAACCAAUUGUUUUAUGUUUAUGAAAGUUUAUUCUUUUGACAGGUUAAGGUUUAGUGAACAUUUAACGUAAGGGACAUGCUACAUUUUAAUGGAACUUUUUUGAAAGUUCCUUUCUGUUUAGAACUCAAUUUACAGUAAUAUGUUUUUCGGUUUUGUUGUGAAAGAGGAGAUUAUGUAUGGCAUUAUUUUGAUAUAUUUUUAAUUGGCCAAUGGGUGUGGAGUUGGUGGGUGGCGUU